rnacentral:rRNA from 1 species
GAUGAACGCUGGCGGCGUGCCUAAUACAUGCAAGUCGAGCGAACAGACGAGGAGCUUGCUCCUCUGACUUUAUCGGCGGACGGGUGAGUAACACGUGUAUAACCUACCUAUAAGACUGGGAUAACUACGCGAAACCGGAGCUAAUACCGGAUAAUAUAUUGAACCUCAUGGUUCAAUAGUGAAAUACGGUUUUGCUUUCACUUAUAGAUUGAUCCGGGCCGCAUGAGCUAGUUGGUAACGUAACGGCUUACCAAGGCGACGAUGCGUAGCCGACCUGAGCGGGUGGACGGAUAGCUGGGAAGAGAGAAACAGCCGCGACACCGAGAGGGAGACGCGGUAGGGAAUCUUCCGGAAGGGGGGAAAGCGGGACAGAGCAAAGCGGCGUGAAUGAUGAUGCACUUCGGAUGGUAGAGCGCUGUUAUUAGGGAAGAAGAAAUGUGUAAGUAACUGUGCACGUAUUGACGGUACCUGAUCAAAAAGCCACGGCUAACUACGUG